rnacentral:lncRNA from 1 species
AAGAGAAUCAUUAAAUCCAAAAGUAAAGUCUGCUUGUUCGACGAAUACUAGUUCAUGUUAGGAGAAUGAAAAAAAAAGAUGUUUAAUACCAUGAAAUUUUACUGGUGAUCGAGGUACACGAAGAACGCGCAGCUUUCCAUCGCUGCAGACAACUGCUAAAAACCCAAGAAUGGAAUCUUCAACCGAAAUUGUGGGGCACCACUCUAGUUGAAGAACACUUCCCCAAUCAUGGUACAAUAUAAAUUCCGACUUAAAAUUGGUUUUGUUUUCUAGUUUCCAAAGUUGAAUUUGAUUCCGUCCAGAAGUUCGCAUAAAUACUGAUUCAGUAGUUUCUGAAAAUUUUAGCAUCCCUCCUACAGCUAAAAACUGUGUUUCUUUAUUUGUUGGUAACCAUGAAACAGACGAUAAAGGAAUCCCUGUAUUCACCACAAACCCCGAUUUCUGUGGAUUUUCCUUAAAAGGGUUUACCGGUUGACAGGGUUCAACUUGCUGUGGUGAUUCAAAAUGGAAACUUAUGCUUAAAUUUUUAACUUCAAACAAAUAAAAAGGAUUUUCGGAAUAUGAUAAUAACUGCUGUCCGUCGAGAUUCAGAAGUGUUUGCAACUUGGAAUCAGACGACGUCUGACCUUCAAAGGAAGAUUGACCAGGAGCAGUCUCAUAAUAUUUCCAAAUUUCGAUUAGCCUCCUUCCUUUAUUUAAAGAUUCAACGUGAGUCCCGUAAGAAUUUAUUAACUUCUCUUCUAAACCUUUUGAACUUUGCUUUUUAGCACUUCCACGAGUAGUACUAGAAUUCUGACUCUUCGGUUCAUUCCCAGCGCCUUUGGAAGAUGAAGGUGUUAAAGGUUGACUUCUAAUAGGUUUUGAGGGGGUUCGACGAGUAGUACUUACCCUUUUUCGGUUUCUUGACGGUGUUUCUAUUUCUAUGUCUUCUUCAGACAUAACGUUCUCUAAAACAAAAUCGCCGUCAUCAUCAUUAUCUUCAUCGUUUUUAUAAGAGCUUGGAUUUUCGUAUUCCUUAGAUUUAGGGCCCAUACGCGUCAAUAUUCAUUAGGAAUGGUGGUGAACUUCAUCAAAGCAAUAUUGACCUAAUCAAAACCUCGUUUGCAAGUGCUCAAAGAAAAUAUUUAUUUCAAAUAAUUAUUCCACUUUGAAAAAAUUAAUUUGUUAAAAAAUCCCAAUUCUUAAUUUGUUGCUGUUCGUCUUGGUUCAGCUCAAUCCUGCUUUAAUUGUGAGUGUGAAACUUAGACUUAACUUCAAACAUUUGUUGGUUAAUACGAGUCCAUGCAGAAACUUCAUAAAGAAUAAAUUUUGCAAAUAGUUAAAUUUAUUUUAAGUAUUUAACACAUUCAAUGAAAUUCGAUUGCUCUUUUUACCAGCCUAUCUCUCCUCAUUUUUAGUUCUGUUAACACGAUUUUGUCAAAGGAAGUAUUUCGGUAAUCGAAAAAAAUAUAUAUAUAGUUAUAUUGAAUCUACUAAACGUUAUGUGAAAUGUUAGCUCAAUUUCACUGGUAAAUAUGCAACAAAUUUCUUUCAAUUACUACGGGUUUGCUGAGAGCAUUAUUCUGACACUAUUAAAGGAUUAUAGGGAAUAGUAUGUGAUGCUACUAUUAAAUAAUUUAAUCAG